UGCCAGCCGCCGCGGUAAUACGGAGGAUCCAAGCGUUAUCCGGAAUCAUUGGGUUUAAAGGGUCCGUAGGCGGUCUUUUAAGUCAGAGGUGAAAUCCUACAGCUCAACUGUAGAAUUGCCUUUGAUACUGAAAGACUUGAGUUAUUGUGAAGUAGUUAGAAUGUGUGGUGUAGCGGUGAAAUGCAUAGAGAUCACACAGAAUACCGAUUGCGAAGGCAGAUUACUAACAAUAUACUGACGCUGAGGGACGAAAGCGUGGGUAGCGAACAGGAUUAGAUA
rnacentral:rRNA from 1 species